rnacentral:rRNA from 1 species
UGGGGAAUAUUGCACAAUGGGCGCAAGCCUGAUGCAGCCAUGCCGCGUGUGUGAAGAAGGCCUUCGGGUUGUAAAGCACUUUCAGCGGGGAGGAAGGCGUUAAGGUUAAUAACCUCAUCGAUUGACGUUACCCGCAGAAGAAGCACCGGCUAACUCCGUGCCAGCAGCCGCGGUAAUACGGAGGGUGCAAGCGUUAAUCGGAAUUACUGGGCGUAAAGCGCACGCAGGCGGUCUGUCAAGUCGGAUGUGAAAUCCCCGGGCUCAACCAGGGAACUGAAUUCGAUAGUGGCAGGCUAGAGUCAGGUAGAGGGAGGUAGAAUUCCAGGUGUAGGGGGGAAAUACGUAGAGAUCUGGAGGAAUACCGGUGGCGAAGGCGGCCCGCUGGACAAAGACUGACGCUCAGGUGCGAAAGCGUGGGGAGCAAACAGG